AGAGUUUGAUCCUGGCUCAGAUUGAACGCUAGCGGGAUGCUUUACACAUGCAAGUCGAACGGCAGCACGAAGAGCUUGCUCUUUGGUGGCGAGUGGCGAACGGGUGAGUAAUAUAUCGGAACGUGCCCAGUAGCGGGGGAUAACUGGCCGAAAGGUCAGCUAAUACCGCAUACGUCCUACGGGAGAAAGGGGGGGAUCGCAAGACCUCUCACUAUUGGAGCGGCCGAUAUCAGAUUAGCUUGUUGGUGAGGUAAAGGCUCACCAAGGCCGCGAUCUGUAGCUGGUUUGAGAGGACGACCAGCCACACUGGGACUGAGACACGGCCCAGACUCCUACGGGAGGCAGCAGUGGGGAAUUUUGGACAAUGGGGGCAACCCUGAUCCAGCCAUCCCGCGUGUGCGAUGAAGGCCUUCGG
rnacentral:rRNA from 1 species